rnacentral:lncRNA from 1 species
UUUUUUUUUUUUUUGUGUGUGUGUGUGCGUGUGUGUGUGCGUAAAGUUUUCCUGAAGCUGAUGAAUGCCUGAACACAUCAGCCCUAUAACCUCUGGUGCUUCAGUGUUUAAGACAGCAGGUAGGAAAUUUCCCACUUGAAGCUGGUGACUGAAGGACCAGUUUCCUCCGGAAGGAGUGUUAGGCUACAGUAAGCAGUUUGAAAAGAAAGGGUUUGCAAAAAUUUGCCUUUAUAUGUCAUUCUUAAAGACAAGCGUAUUCCUUCAAUGCCUCCAAGAGCACAGUUAGAAGUAGAAUCCAGGCAGCUGGGCUGCCUUCCAAGUACUGUGGUCUCCGAAUGACCUUUUCCCGGUGUGCUGCAAAAGGGCUUGGCUUUAUUUUCUUCCUUUCUUUGCACCCCGAGCGCAGCACACUGGAGUUAAGAUGACAAAAAAGAACAGGGCUCUCCUUGGCCAGCGUGCCUUCAAGCUUCAGCGAUGCAUGUUGAACAAAUGGAGACGAGAGCUCCGUCCAUUGUGAAGGGAUGACUUACUAUGUAGAUGUGGAAGACCUGUGCAGUAUUUUUGUUUUAAAUCCAAAAGUUUGGUGCGAUUCUAAUGUUGACCACUUCAAAGAAAUGAAUGUCUGUUUUUCUUUUUCUUUUUUUUUAUGGUGCCAACUGGCUACUGUACAAUGUCUGUGAGCGUGUGUGUGUGACUGCAAUCCAUGCAUGCAAGUCCUACUGGUAAUAUGAAAACCUGCUGUAAGACUGCAAGAAAAUUUACUGUAGCUUUGCUUUAAUAAAUGGUAGAGAUUUUGUUAGUAACAACCUGAAGGAAAAACAAAGAGCUGAAACUAACAUUCCCUGGAGUGCUCGUGUGGAAGAGAGCACAGUUCACACUAUGUAUCUUGUUCUCGGGUUUUCUCCCCGGCCCUUUUAUAAUUAUGGUCAUCCAGAUCAUUACUGUUAUGGGGGGAAAAGAAAAUUGAAAACUGAACUCAGACGUACUCAGAUUUGAUUGAUUGAAAACCAAAAUCAGUUUUAAAUAAGGUGGAAACCAAAAUAUAAUGCCUUUUCUGAUAA